ensembl:lncRNA
UCUAGAUACUCCGGUAUCCUUCCAAGUCCAAAGGCAUACACUGUAGGCUGAUUGGCAUCUCCAUCCAAGUUCCCCUCUGAUUGGCAUUUCCAAAUUGUCUGUAGUGUGUGAAUGUGUGUGCGUUUGUGCCCUGAGAUGGGUUGGCAGCCUGUCCGAGGUCCCCCCUGCCUUGUGCCCCGAGUUUCCUGGGAUAAGCUCCAGGCUCCCCUACAAACCUGCGUAGGAUAAGCGGUACAGAAAAUGGAAGGCUGGAUGGAUGGAAAUUUUGUCAGAGUAGUUUCUGCUGCUCUGAAUGCCAAACACUACACAGCAUCAGGUGGUUCAGAUGGACCACAAACUGGAGAGUGUCCUGAAGAUCCUGAUGGAACAGUUCCAACUCGAACCAGAGCUGCUUCAGAAACCAAGCCACUGCAGCUCCCGCUUAAUGAAACGCCAGAGUGGCAGCAUGAAGAAAGGACAAUGAGAGCAACAGAAAGCAGGGUUCAUAGAGAGAAGAGAGCUCGAAGAAGGCGAAAGUUAGUACAGAGGGAGAAUUCCAGGCCAGGGCUGGAAGGACUUCAGUGGCGAGUGUUGGUUUGGCCAGGCCAGGCAGUAUGUGAGGCAUGAGGAGAGACAGCUGCAGUACUGCCUCACCGGUGGGCGCUACACCACGCCACGUCAGUGGGGCACACGCACACACACACGCUUACUCCAACUUCUGUAUCCCAAACUCCACUAACUGUCCAGACAUCCACUGGUUUUAAGGUCUGUGAUUUUUUCAUGAUCAAAAAAUACAAUCAAAUUUUCAGUCUUAUCUUUCUACAACAAUAUGUAAGUGACUGUAGCUCAAACUGAAAAUACCUGUAAACGAUGUCCCUCGUGACAUUUUCAUUAAAACCUUUAUCUUGUAAUAAAACUGUUUACUUCACCUGACUUGACCUUCCAUACAGUACUAAUCUGGUCUGCAGGAGCUGAAUAGAUUAGAGCAUGCAGGAUAAUGUGAAGUGAGGCUGCUGUAGAUGUUUUGCCCUGCAUGCUUCAGCAGAGCUGCUCCACUACCUGAUAAAGAGCUUUUGACUGGCUGCAGGUGGGCCCACCUAAUGAGCGCUACUGGACCAAAGCAAACACGCAGUUCAGGCCACAUCACGAAUGAUGAAUGAGAAGAGAAAAAAAAAAGCUAGUGCAAAUCCAUGAUAAGCAAACAAAGGAUAUUUCUGUACUGCAUGCUAUUUAAGAGCAAUAAGUCUGGAUGUUAAAGUGAAAAGCAACAGAUUUACUGAUUAUAAUACAGUAGGUGUUGUACAAAAGCAAAAAAAUUCUCCUUUGGAAAUCUGUUUUAAAUCUCUGUUUAGUCAAUAAAAAACAAAAAGAACAACAACAAAAAAAACCCGUACUGCUGUUUUUGAAGCACAUGAGCAAAACUGCCUGCCAGAGGAUGGAAUGAGUAAAUGCAACUCAGCACAGAGGAGAAAAUGGAAUAAAAUUAAGAGGCAAAAAGACAAAAUGACUACCAUGAUUUCGUUUAUUGUUAAAGCUGCCUGCAAAUAAUCUUAAUGAUAAAAUCUGUCACCAUGACAAGGCUGUAGUUUUAUCUUAAGAGGUUAGUCAUAAUUCCUUUCAUUUAUUGAGAAUUUGCCACGGACGUUCACUGUGGUUAUUAGAGGAAAUGAAGGGAGGAACUCUGAGCUUUCAAUGAACAGCUUACACUGCCAUUUACUGGAAAUGAUGCAGGUCUGUGACCAGUGAUAUAGUACAAAAGGAAAUGUGAAAUUGCUUCUUUAGGUAAACACACUGCUAGGCGAUAAGACCACCAAUAGGUUUUGUGUUAUGUUUAUCUGAGGCCCACCUUGAAAUUUUCUUCUUUAUAUUAUUUCACAUGACUAUUUUCCCUCACUCAUUCCUUGACACUUUUAUUUUCUUUAACAAUAAAUGAGAACAAAGCAUAAAUUGCUGGCUGUAAUAAUGGUUAUAAGACAUUAUAAUGGUGUACCUCAGACACUGAAAUUUAGGAUAAGACAAGGUUUAUCAAGG